GCAUCCCGCCUGGGAGUACGCCGCAAGGCUAAACUCAAAGAAAUUGACGGGGCCCGCACAAGCGGCGGAGCAUGCGGAUUAAUUCGAUGCAACGCGAAGAACCUUACCUGGGCUUGACAUGUUCCCGACAGCCCCAGAGAUGGGGCCUCCCUUCGGGGNGGGUUCACAGGUGGUGCAUGGUCGUCGUCAGCUCGUGUCGUGAGAUGUUGGGUUAAGUCCCGCAACGAGCGCAACCCUCGCCCUGUGUUGCCAGCACGUCGUGGUGGGAACUCACGGGGGACCGCCGGGGUCAACUCGGAGGAAGGUGGGGAUGACGUCAGAUCAUCAUGCCCCUUACGUCCAGGGCUUCACGCAUGNUACAAUGGCCGGUACAACGGGAUGCGACCUCGNGAGGGGGAGCGGAUCCCUUAAAACCGGUCUCANNUCGG
rnacentral:rRNA from 1 species